rnacentral:rRNA from 1 species
UACGUAGGGUGCGAGCGUUAAUCGGAAUUACUGGGCGUAAAGCGUGCGCAGGCGGUUUUGUAAGACAGAGGUGAAAUCCCCGGGCUUAACCUGGGAACUGCCUCUGUUACUGACCAGCUGGAGUACUGUAGAGGGUAGUGGAAUUUCCGGUGUAGCGGUGAAAUGCGUAGAGAUCGGAAGGAACACCAGUGGCGAAGGCGGCUACCUGGACAGAUACUGACGCUGAGGCGCGAGAGCGUGGGGAGCAAACGGG